AGUAUAUUCCCUUCGUCCAGAAAUACUUGUCGUGAGAAUGAAUGUAUCUAUAUGUAUUUUAAUUUUUGAUACAUUCAUUUAUAUUCAUUUUUAUGACAAGGAAUUUUGGAUGGAGAGAAUAACAA
rfam:Hordeum vulgare subsp. vulgare, WGS project CAJW01000000 data, contig: morex_contig_1630948